rnacentral:rRNA from 1 species
AAUCAACGCUGGCGGCGUGCCUCAGACAUGCAAGUCGAACGAUUAAAGCUCUCUUCGGAGAGUGUAUAAAGUGGCGCACGGGUGAGUAACACGUAGGUAAUGUACCUUUGGGUGGGGAAUAACUUAGGGAAACUUAAGCUAAUACCGCAUAAUGCAGCGGCUCGACAUCGAGACAGUUGUUAAAGAUUUAUCGCCUAAAG